rnacentral:lncRNA from 1 species
ACAAUUAGAGGUUGAUUUUACUUGCUGAAAAUGUUGCUUUGAUUGUAUAAAUAUGUUAUAUGAAUGGUAAAAUGAUGUUUGAAAGGCUUAGAGUAAAGAAAUUUAACAUGGGAGCUAAAAGUGUAAAUCUGGCAGAAUAGGUUGUAACAGGACAGCUUGUGUUACUAACUUCAUAACUUAUUGUGUAUAUAUUGAAAUUAGGCCUAAGAUAUACCAAAUGAAAGCUAAGACAAAUAUAUAAAACUUUCAUGAAUUGACAAAAUUCUGAAUCUGUAGUUAAAAUGAUGAAAAUUGCAAGUGAACCUAAAAUGGACACAGUGGUAGUGCAUCCGGAACAGAGUCUAUUGAUUAUACCAUAACUAAUUACAUACUUAGUGAAAUUUGUUAAGACCAGUGCCAAAUGAAUCUUAAGAAGUAUACCUAAAACUUUGUAGAAGACAUUUAAGCUUGAAUUUGUAUGGAAAUGUAUGAAUCUGAUAAGUUUUGUGAUACUAUUAACAAGUACCAAUACUGAACUGAUUAAGACCUUAUUGAGCAGCUUGUAAAGAAAAAUUCAUAACUUAAGCUAGGAUGAUCAGAUUUGCAUGACCCAUACCUUGUUGGAAAGAUAAGACAUAAAUAUACAUUUCUUAUGAAGAAACUGAAGUCAAAUUGUAACUCUAAACUGCUUGAAAAGUUUAUGCAAUAUAUGGCAGAAUGUAGUUUUCUAUAUUGAAAUGCUAAGUCAAUAAAGUUUUGCACUAUUGCCAUGAGUUUUCCAUAUUGUAAACCUUGGCAUAUGAUAUAUGUACUUUGGAAAAAGAAAUCAAAUAGCUUCAAAUGACAUGGAUUUACAUUGAUACAUUGAGUUAAUGAUACUUGGCCCUGGUAAACGUAAUAGGAGUCGAGGUUAGCUUAAGGGUAUGGCAUGCCAUAUAAACAUACAGNNNN